rnacentral:tRNA from 1 species
GGAGCGGUAGUUCAGUCGGUGAGAAUACCGGCCUGUCACGCCGGGGGUCGCGGGUUCGAGUCCCGUCCGCUCCGCCA